rnacentral:rRNA from 1 species
GACGAACGCUGGCGGCGUGCUUAACACAUGCAAGUCGAGCGGUAAGGCCCUUUCGGGGGUACGACGAGCGGCGAACGGGUGAGUAACACGUGGGUGACCUGCCCUCAGCUCUGGGAUAAGCCUGGGAAACCGGGUCUAAUACCGGAUAUGACUCCAUGACGCAUGUUGUGGGGUGGAAAGCCUUGUGCGGCUGAGGAUGGGCCCGCGGCCUAUCAGCUUGUUGGUGGGGUGAUGGCCUACCAAGGCGACGACGGGUAGCCGGCCUGAGAGGGCGACCGGCCACACUGGGACUGAGGCACGGCCCAGACUCCUACGGGAGGCAGCAGUGGGGAAUCUUGCGCAAUGGGCGAAAGCCUGACGCAGCGACGCCGCGUGAGGGAUGACGGCCUGUGU